GUUUUUAUAGUGUAAUUAACACACUACAUUUUCAUUGUAGAGCUAAAGGUACAAAUCCUUUUUAAAAUA
rnacentral:tRNA from 1 species